CACCGACCUUUACCACCAAUGCGCAGCCGCAAGUUCGACUGUCGAUUCGGAGCGCAGCGUCGGCUCCAGUGAGCUGCCACAGCAGAGUGCGCAGCUAGAAGCAGCGCAACGCAACGCAGCAGAAUUCAACACAAAUCAGCUCGGCGCAGCGCAUUGCAGCCAAACGCAAACCGGCGCAGCCCAACGCAAACCGGCGCAGCUCUGCGCAGAGUAAGGAAGCCCAGCGCCUGCUGAUCGAUAUGAGACUGUGGAGUCUGCGACCGCCGGCCGACGCCAAUGAAGACAUCAAUAAAGGUCACGUUUUUCUCCGAUAUAGAUGGUGAGACGGCAGCCUCGCUCGUGCAAUUCCAUCCCGGCGAGCUCCCGUUCUUCACAAACUGAAGCAGAACCUCAAGCAAGAUGCGAGCAUCCCCGACGGACACGGAGACAUAAUCCCAUGACCAGUUCUUGGCACACGGGGGAGCCGUUUGCCAGCCAUGCCAGGCACCCACGAAAUGCCAAGGGGCACACCUCAUUCUGCUUGGAUCUGUGGGAUGGGGGGGAUUGUUAACAACCGGGGUAAAGAAUACACCUACUGUUAUGGCAUUUCAACACAGAAUAAUUGACAGCGAUCUCCGAGAAACAAACAGAUAAACACGGUCAAAAGGUAGACUGUCUGAAAACAUUGUUUAUGUUAGCAAUUGUCCCUAAAUGUGUGUUUAAAAGGAGGAUUGUUUGUAGUGAUUUGGUCCUAAUUUAAUUUGUUUACCAUGAUUCAAUAUUGUGGAAAUAAAAAGGCAUACGUGAAAGUCA